rnacentral:lncRNA from 1 species
UUGAGUUUAAAUUUUAUUUUACAAAAAGAGAAAUAAAGAAAACUGAUAGGCAGUUAUACUGACUUACAAUUGUUCUGUUUGCUUUUUUUUAAAAAAGUGACAUGAAACACAAGUAAAAAUAAAUACGUCAUAGAAACAGCCAGUUGCCCAGUCUCUGGGGCAGGAGCGCCUGCCCUGCUGAGAGGAGGGAAGCCCAUGAUCACACCAGCAGCUGGAUCACCCAGCCACAGAUGCUCCUCGAAGCCAGGCACAGGUCCCAGGCCUCAGGGGCGUCCUGAGGAAAGAAGACGGAAAACCAAAGCCAGGUGCCAGGACCCUGGGGCCACCUCAUUAUCCCCCACUCCUCCUGGCAGCAGUCUGGUCUUAGUGGUUAUCCAUAGCGACCCCCCUUAACCCACCUGGACCCUCUUCCCCUGACCUCUCUGAAGAUGGUACAAGGGAAAAACCUGUCUUGGGCAGGCUGGGGGGGAUUCUUCUGGUGAGUCCCCAGCCCACCCUGAGUAACACAACCAGAUAACAGUCAUUUUACACCCAGGUGCACAUGAGCACAGCACACAAACACACACACACACACUCACACACACACACACACACAGCUGGGCUGAGCUCUCUUCCAGGGAGGGUCCUGGGUCCAGUCACAGUAUGAGGUCCUCUCUCUUCUGAAUAUCAUCCCAGUAGUGGCAGCAGAGAGUACCCAAACCUCCCCAAGCCCUCUGCAUUGCAGACACUGCAGCCUGCUUGGCUACCCCUCCCCAACACACUAGAUUACUAUGUCAAAUAGACCUGCAAAAGGGAAAGGUGCACACUCAGGUCCCUGAAGAGCAAAGAAGUUGGACACUGCCUGCUCAAGAAGUUCAUUGUUAUAAGACUCAGGUAUUCAUAAAAGGCCUAGGGCUAAGCUAGUAGCACAGAAAAGCCGUUAAGGGGAUCACAGCAGAAUACACAGGGCAGAAGAGAAGAGUUGGCAGCAGGGGAACGGAGUCUCAAGGUGACCAAUAGAGAGCACAACAUUCUCAAAUAGUCCUUGAGGUGCUGAUUCCUGGGAGUAGUCAGCAGAGGGCCAGAACAUCUCCCAGGGGUCCUUUUGGGGAAGGAUGACUUCACUUAGUUUUAGGGGUGAAGAGCCACUGAGCUGGGUGCACAGAAGGCCAUGGCUCAGAAGGGAAAGACUGAUCUGAGAAAUCAAAAGGAAGUGGGGGCCAGGAGCAGUGGCUCACGCCUGUAAUCCCAUCACUGGGAGGCCGAGGAGGGUGGAUCACUUGAGGUCAGGAGUUCAAGGCCAGCCUGGCCAACGUGGUGAAACCCCGUCUCUACUAAAAAAUAUACAAAUUAGCUGGGCAUGGUGGUGUGCACCUGUAAUCCCAGCUACUUGGGAGGCUGAGGCAGGAGGAUCGCUUGAAACCGGGAGUGGAGGUUGCACGGAGCCAAGAUCACACCAUUGCACUCAAGCCUGGGUGACAGAGCAAGACUCUGUCUCAAAAAAAAAAAAAAGGAAGUGGGAAGCAGAAGGUAAUAUCCAGAACACUAGUAACAAGGAAUGUAAAGCCCCCAGAAGACCUUCCCCAUGGGAUGAGGACUCAAUUUCAGAGCAAUGCCAGGUUUGAAUAGACUCACACAGAGGGCCCUUCUCUGCUGACAACUUUGGGAGUGAUGGUCCUACCCAGGCCACUUAAGUUUGGCUAAGUGUUUCAACCAAUCUGCAAAACUGUACCCCAGCACUUUGCUUCCUGCUCCUGAAUUGAGAAAUUUCAUAUUUAGUUGUGAAUCACAAGCAUAUAGAGACUCCACACACUAAUUCCUAGGGAAGAGAGCUCCAAGGAUCACAAGCAUAUAGAGACUCCACACACUAAUUCCUAGGGAAGAGAGCUCCAAGGACCAGACAGAAUUAUCCUUAAAUCAGGAGAUGAUGAGAUAGAUGCCUAAAAAGCAUAACUCAAAGGGGUGUGGACUUCAUAGAUAUCCAAUCUAAAGAAAAUGAUAUGACCCAACAUGGUUCACUUCCUUUCUUAAAUAGCUACUUUGUCCCUGUUCAAUUUUUAUCUACAAAUAUAUUAAGAAAAGGAAAUCAAGCAUCACUAUAAAUGGUAAACCUCAAUCAUUAAGUAGUACUGUGUUCCCCAGGCUGAGAACUUGGCUAAACCAGAUGAAUGGGGCUUGAGAGGCAUCAGUGUAACCCAGGUUCUGAGUGUGUCCCAUAAAUUGGAGAUUCAGUCUAGCUCACUCCUACUGCACCAGCCUCAACCUGAGAGCUCACUCCAACUGAGUCCCUUCACCAUCCAUUCUUGGGAUGCAUCUGAAAGAGAAAGCACUGGUUGGAACUGCUAUUUUUAAAUUAUUAAAAUAAUUUGCAUAGCUAAAUUGUAGAUCUAAGGCUUCCAUGAGUAGAAGAGUUAAGUGUCUGGCAGGGUGCUUAUGAAAACACAAAGCUUCUUAAGUUCCACUUUUGGUGUUAUUGGACAGCAGACAAACACACAUAUACACAUGCACCCCAUCCAUCAUCUCCUUGUCUCUUCUCUGAGGACAAUACCCCAGAGUCUGCUAAGGCCCUCCAAAGAUGGAAAUGGGCUGGUCAGAAGAGCUGUAGGAGCUACUACUGGGAUGACCUGACUAAGCUGCCUUCUGGGCUGGGAAGAGGCAGGUACACCACCUGCCCAGUAAGGAGGGAGCCAUGGGUAAGUGGUAAAGCUCUAAAGCCAAAGUUUGUUCAUCAUAAAGAACUGUCUGGCAAAGUGUUGGGGUGGGGGAUACAGAGGGGGCGGGGACACCAGUAGGAAGACAGCCAGUGUUUAUGCUUAAGGACUAGACGACCCUCCCCUGGCAAUGGCAAUAAGGGGAGACCCAGAAUGACUGGUGUGUUCUUUUAAGAUAAAACCCAGACUUAGGGCUCCUACAGAGAAAGGGCUCCUCCAUGUUCCUUCAAAGAUGGAGGCAGCAGACACCAGGCCUACAUGGACCACCUGAAGAUAUUUUCGAACAUGAAAUCAACAGUCCCUCAACCCAGCAACCGCCUAUCCACAGCUUCACUAUUCAGCAUAGAGAGCCAACAUCUAACAUCAUCCCAGGAGGACACAGCUCCAAAUCUGGGGUCUCUUACUUCCCAAUUGCAAACUCCAUGAUCACAACUUUCGAUUUCUGUGGAAUGAGUCCCACCCUCCACUAACUAUCCAGUCUCAGGAUUCCCUGAUCUUCCUGAAAAGCCAUCUCUCAAAAAUAUAGUUGUUUAAUCCAAACCUUGGUCAAACCUAACUCUUCCCCUGGUCAAUUUACCAUCCAUCCAGGAUUGUUUUUCACCAGUGGCUAUAGGGUCUGGGAUAUCUUAAAACUUCCCUUUCUAUCACCUACCCUCCUUACCCCUAACCUCCCCCCACCCCCAAAUAAACAAGACACAUGAAAAGUCCAAGUAAUAAAUAAUUGCCCAUAAGAAAUAAAUUAACAUGGAGCUCUCUAAAGGGGAAGGAAAGGAACAGAAAAGACUACCAGGAUAGGCAGCUGGGGGCUCAGUUCUACCCUGGUGAAAAAUGUAUUUUCCAGCCACAACUCUGCGACCUUUCAUUCACGUACUGCAGUGCUUCUCCCUCCCAGCCUCUGCACACAGACAACCUUCCAAGCUGGAAAGGGAGAGCUGCUCAGAGAUAGCCACCGGGGUUAAGAGACAUAGAUUGGUAAUGCCCAUUUUCUCUCAUGAAUUUCCCCAAAUUCUCACACAAAUGUGGCUCUGAAUACCAGGGACUUGAGUUAGCUGGGCCUUCUCUUCACCCAUCCCGAAGGAAACUUGUUAUUUCCAUGGCUCUUCUGGGCUCACCCUGAUGUUCACACUAGGUGCCAUGAACCACCAAACUGACUUCCAUUUAAAGAAAGAUAAAUUCAUUUUUCAGUUUCCCUCUUAGUUCUUCCCUCCCUCCCCUCCCACCUUCACCCCUGCUCUGUUCCAUACAUACACAUACAAAAUAAACAUACACACACACACUCACAAACACACAUACCUGGUCAGCUUCCUUCCCACCCCCUAAAAAGACCCCACUUCACAUGGGAUCACAGUCUGCUCCCCCUACCCACCCUCCUUCUCUCACUCAUUCUCCCUUCCUUCACUCCCCUCCCCAGGCCAAGCUAAGUCACCUAGUAAGGCAGCUCUCUUGGGAAAGAAUGUUCCCAAAGACAGAAAUGGGAUGUGCGCUUCUACACUCAGAUGGGCGAGCAAGCAAGCAGACAGCAUAAGCAAGGCAGGAAGGAAAAGAGGCUGCACUGCCCCUCCAUCCCUGUUUUGGGUCCCUGAUUUCCCGCUAUUGCUGCUGUGUUGGACUUUUUUUUUUUUUUUUUUUUUUUUGCCUCUUUUGUUAAACAGCAACAGAGCUCUGCCACUUUGGCCAACCACCCUCCUUUGUCCUCUUCCUUUUCCCUCCUGCCAAGUGUCC